rnacentral:rRNA from 1 species
GAUGAACGCUAGCUACAGGCUUAACACAUGCAAGUCGAGGGACCGGCGUACGGGUGAGUAACGAGUAUCUAACCUUCCUAUUACUGUGGGAUAACUUGCCGAAAGGCAGACUAAUACAGCCUAGUAAUGGAUGGGGAUGCGUUUGAUUAGCUUGUUGGCGGGGUAACGGCCAAGCAAGGCUACGAUCAGUACGGGUUCUGGGAGGAAGGUCAACCAGAAUGGAACUGAGGCACGGUCCAAACUGCGACGGGGGGCAGGAGUGAGGAAUGUUGGUCAUGGGAGUGAAGUCUGAACCAGCCAAGUAACGUGCAGGAUGUCGGCCUAUGGGUUGUAAACUGCUUUUGAAUGGGGAGAGGUACCAUAUGAAUAAGGACCGGCUAAUUCCGUGCCAGCAGCCGCGGUAAUAC